rnacentral:rRNA from 1 species
UACGUAGGGUGCAAGCGUUGCCCGGAUUUAUUGGGCGUAAAGGGCGCGUAGGCGGCUACGCACGUCCGUUGUGAAAUCGCUCGGCUCAACUGGGCGGGGUCAGCGGAUACGGUGUAGCUGGAGCAAGCUAGGGGGCAAUGGAAUUCCCGGUGUAGUGGUGGAAUGCGUAGAUCUUGGAAAGACCACCAAUGGCGAAGGCACUCUACUGGGCCAUGACUGACACUAAGAGACGAAAGCUAGGGGAGCAAAUGGG